GGGGAUUUAGCUCAGCGGCAUAAGCGCCUGCCUUGCAAGCAGGCAGUCGUGAGUACCAUCCCCA
rnacentral:tRNA from 1 species